GGGCCUGUGAGGCCUCUGUGCUGCUUGCUGCUUGCUGGCUGGCUGGCUGCUUUUUUUUUUUUGAUUGCAAUGCUAUUUCCCCACCUCUGUGUGCCUGCCUGUGCAGUGCCUGGGCUGGGGGAAGGAGACAGACCCGUCCCUGGCUCUUCUCACGUGUCCAUUUUGGGAUCUCACAUGACCCUGUUGUUUGGCCCCGUGAUCAAAUCUCCUUCGAAAUUCGAAAUUUUGCAGCUUUCUUUGACCACAUGGAUAUGUUAGACCAAGCCCUGGACAGCAGCCACGAGAAAGGACAAGAGACAGACGACAGUGUACAGCUCCAGGAAGGGGACGGCGGGAACGCGGACGAGCAGACAGCGGUGGCCAUCGCGAGCGUGCAGCAAGCGGCUUUCACUGACCACAACAUCCAGUACCAGUUUCGCUCAGAGAACAAUGGCGGACAGGUAACC